UACAGAGACUGCAAGCGUUAUUCGGAUUCACUGGGCGUAAAGGGUGCGUAGGCGGUCGGGUAAGUCUGAUGUGAAAUCUCACAGCUUAACUGUGAAACUGCAUUGGAUACUAUCCGGCUAGAGGAAUGGAGGGGAGACUGGAAUACUUGGUGUAGCAGUGAAAUGCGUAGAUAUCAAGUGGAACACCAGUGGCGAAGGCGAGUCUCUGGACAUUUCCUGACGCUGAGGCGCGACAGCGUGGGGAGCAAACAGG
rnacentral:rRNA from 1 species